rnacentral:tRNA from 1 species
GGAUCCUUAGCUCAGUUGGUCAGAGCAUCCGGCUCAUAACCGGGCGGUCCUGGGUUCAAGUCCCUGAGGAUCCA